UACGGGGGGGGUAAGCGUUGUUCGGAAUUACUGGGCGUAAAGGGCUCGUAGGCGGCCAACUAAGACAUACGUGAAAUCCCUCAGCUUAACUGGGGAACUGCGUGUGAUACUGGAUGGCUUGGAUUUGGGAGAGGGAUGCGGAAUUCCAGGUGUAGCGGUGAAAUGCGUAGAUAUCUGGAGGAACACCGGUGGCGAAGGCGGCAUCCUGGACCAAUAUUGACGCUGAGGAGCGAAAGCCAGGGGAGCAAACGGG
rnacentral:rRNA from 1 species